rnacentral:tRNA from 1 species
AAGAUAAUAGUUUAUAAAAAACAUUUAACUUGCAAUUAAAAAAAAUUUAGAUUUAUCUAU